UGGCUCAGUUGGUAGAGCAUGGUGUUUGAACGCCAGGGUUGUGGGUUCAUUUCCCAC
rnacentral:tRNA from 1 species